AUUCUGGAAAAUUAAGAAAACUAAACUUAAUCUAACAAUUGAUUAGGCCUAACUUCUAAAUGAUGAUCUAAUUGAUUCUAAUUAAGUCUAAUUAUCUAUUAACCUAUAGAAAGGUAUGAUAAUCCUAAUUAACAAAAAAAACAUGAAUUAAUCUAGUUCAUACCAACACCAUUAGCAUCAUGAUUAACAGAAAAAACUAGAAUUAAAGUGGAUAGAUUAAAUAAUGACUAAUCAUGAUUAGUGGGGAUUAACAUGAAUAAUCAUGGGUUAUAGGCCUGGUGUGUGAUAACUGGAGGGGGAUAAAGCAAUUUUCUUGGUCCCGAGCCCAAAUUCCAAUUGGCCUGAUCCGGAUCUUUGAAGAACAACCAAAACCAACGCUCCCAAACUCCUAUCAUCGGCAACGUGUCCAAAGCCUUCAUCGCCUCACGUGUUCUUCACCGAGAAACGGCUUCAAGAUUUCGCUUCAAGAUCUCGUGCAACCAUCAACGGAAACCAGCAAGAAUGAUUCAUCUCACCGUGGAAAAACCAAGAACGACGACAAAUUCGCGAGAGGUCUCGAUGUUUAAAUGAAAUGGGAUCGAAAUCGAGCGUGCAAUAGAGAAAAAAGAAGGAAGCAAAACCUACCAACUUCAAUCCUCUUCUUUGAUUAAGCGUUCGUUGUGAAAGAUGAAGACGAUACUCCGCGUUUGUGCCUUGUCGAUUCGUUAUGUCGCGAUUGACGGAGGUGCACGGAGCGUCACGAUGAAGAAUGAAGGCGGAGAUGUAACGUGCGUCGUUGAUAUGGCGAAAGAACAGAAUCGCAAAUGGAAUCGUGGUGUUUAUGACGAAGAAGACGACCGAUGAUCAAAUCCCGAAAGAAGGAGCCGUUAUACGAGUGGCGAGUGAGGGAGAUUAGAAGAGGUUGGAGAGGUUUUUUUCCGGAGGUUUCUUCUGUGGAAGAUUAGUAAAGGAAUCAGAAGUUGGAAGUGGAGAGUUUUUUUUGUUGGGUGGAGGUUUGGACCGGUGAAGAGAUCGGAGACGCUCCGAAGGUGUGAGGAAGUUGCUGGAUUCUGUUUUUGGAGGAGGGUCUAAGGUUGAGAAUUGGUGGCUUUUUGGAGGUUUGAAAAUUGCAGGAUUUGUUGAUUAUAGAAGUUGGUGGAUGAAAAAUGUGAAGUCCUGUUAUGGAUUUUUUUAGUUGAAUGGUUGUUGAUGAAUGGAAGAUGGAGAAGGUAGCAGGUUGAAGGAUUGAAGAGUGUUGUGGAAGGUGGAUGGUGGUUUUUGAAGAAUGGUGAUGGUUGAAGAAGAGAAGAGGGAUGGUAGAAGAAUUUGUGAAUUGUUGAAUGAUGGGAAAGAUGAUGGAGAGUGAAGUCGUUAGGAUGAGCUUUGGGUUGUGAUGGAGAUGGAAGAAGAAGCUCGCCCGAAUGAAGAAUCAGUUAUCAGUUAUAUGGAGGUUGUUGAAGUUGUAGAGGUUAUGGUUUAGUUAAGAAUUAGUUAGAUUUAAUGACAGUUGGAGAAAGUUGGCGACAAUUGGAAUUGAUUAGGCGGUUAGGACGGUUGAAGACAGUUAGAAAGUGAUUAUGUUAUGGAGUUAGAAAUUUGUUAUGAAAAUAGUUAGUUGAAGAAGAGUGUGAAGGUCUGUUAUUGGUUAAUCCUUGAAGGUCAAGUGAAGGAGAGAAAACCCAAUUCGGUUCUGUUAUGGGAAGAUGUAGAGUUUCGGUUAGGUGGUUGUUGAGGUUUGUUAGAAAGCUGUUGGAAAUUCUGUUAUCAGCUUUAUAUUUCUGUUAGAAAAUUAGUUACAAACUUCUGGUGUAAAGUUAACCGACUCUGGUGUGUGUUGUUUUCUCUUAUGCAGGAAGUUUGAAGCAGUGGUUAUUGAAGAAGGUCGGAGGGUUAUGAAAAUUUCGUAUGAUGUUGUUAUAGAAAAAAACGGAUUGGUUAUAGGGAGGUGGAAGUUAGUUCGUGGAAUGGAUGUUUUGGCAACGAAUCUCGUUUAGCCUCUCAAUUCUAUUCAUGUUCUUUAUUUGUUGUUGUUUCUGUUAUGUUUUUUGAUUUCUGCAAGUUAUGAGCUCGAAAGAGUGUGUUGCGAAACUCCGUAAGCUGGUUUUUAGUAGGAAUUGAAGUCACAUUUUAUUCAAGGUGAAGCUCUUUGGUUAGCAGGGUGGUGAUAUCAUCUUCCUUCAAAAUUAAACUAGCUAUCUGCUUUAGAGCUUUAUCUGCAUCAGUAAACACUUCAUCAUUGCCUAAUGAUGAUGACACGCUCUUCAUGUCUUGCGAUAGCAUCAGCGAUUUUAUUGUUAGCUUGUUAGGUAUUUUUGUGAUGAUAUCCAUUUUGUGCAGGUUGGUUAUAAUUCUAUAGGGGCUUUUUAUUGUAAUUUUGUAGUUAUUUUAAGUUGAAGUUGGACUAGGGAUUUAUGGUUCCUUGCAUUGGAAUUGGUUUGUCGCACAUGGACUCGGAUUUUGAGUUUGUUAGAGCUUGAAUUUGAUAUGAAUUGUCGUUGUAAAUUUUGUAACCAAAAUUCAAGUUGUGCUACAACAGGAAAUGAAUGUAAAUGUUAUGUACAUUAUUGGAUCA